GCUGCAAACUACGUAAGAGCUAGCGAAUCUCAAAAAGAAUAGUCUCAGUUCGGAUUGUGGGCUGCAACCCGCCCACAUGAAGUCGGAGUUGCUAGUAAUCCCGAAUCAGCAUGUCGGGGUGAAUGCGUUCCCGGGCCUUGUACACACCGCCCGUCACGCCAUGGGAGCUGGUAAUACCCAAAGUCGGUACACCAACCGCAAGGAGGAAGCCGCCUAAGGUAGGAUCAGUGACUGGGGUGAAGUCGUAACAAGGUAAC
rnacentral:rRNA from 1 species